AUUGAACGCUGGCGGCAUGCCUUACACAUGCAAGUCGAACGGUAACGGGCCUUCGGGUGCCGACGAGUGGCGAACGGGUGAGUAAUGCAUCGGAACGUACCUUUCAGUGGGGGAUAACGUAGCGAAAGUUACGCUAAUACCGCAUAUUCUGUGAGCAGGAAAGCAGGGGAUCGCAAGACCUUGCGCUGAUUGAGCGGCCGAUGUCAGAUUAGCUAGUUGGUGAGGUAAAGGCUCACCAAGGCGACGAUCUGUAGCGGGUCUGAGAGGAUGAUGCGCCACACUGGAACUGAGACACGGUCCAGACUCCUACGAGAGGCAGCAGUGGGGAAUUUUGGACAAUGGGGUCAACCCUGAUCCAGCCAUGCCGCGUGAGUGAAGAAGGCCUUCGGGUUGUAAAGCUCUUUCGGUCGGGAAGAAAUCGCAUGGGUUAAUACCCUGUGCGGAUGACGGUACCGGAAUAAGAAGCACCGGCUAACUACGUGCCAGCCGCCGCGGUAACAC
rnacentral:rRNA from 1 species